rnacentral:ncRNA from 2 species
UUCUUAUCAAGAGAGGCAGAGGGACCGGCCCCAUGAAGUCUCAGCAACGGGCUUAAAAUAAGUACCGUGCUAAUUCCGGAAUGAAGAUAAGAA